rnacentral:rRNA from 1 species
GACGAACGCUGGCGGCGUGCUUUACACAUGCAAGUCGAACGGCAGCACGGGGGCAACCCUGGUGGCGAGUGGCGAACGGGUGAGUAAUAUAUCGGAACGUGCCCAGAGGUGGGGGAUAGCCCGGCGAAAGCCGGAUUAAUACCGCAUACGACCUACGGGUGAAAGCGGGGGAUCGCAAGACCUCGCGCCAUUGGAGCGGCCGAUAUCAGAUUAGGUAGUUGGUGGGGUAAAGGCCUACCAAGCCAACGAUCUGUAGCUGGUCUGAGAGGACGACCAGCCACACUGGGACUGAGACACGGCCCAGACACCUACGGGAGGCUG